AAAUAAAUAAAUAAGGUAUUUCUAAAGAAUAGUAUGCAAAGUUCAUUUACAAUUGCUAAAGUAAUAAAAAAUGGUUAAAUAUGACUAUGUGAGACUAUAAGACCAUAAUAUGACUAAAAGGUUUUUAUUAAAAUAAAAUAAACCCACUGCAGUGGACAGGUGGGGGCUGCCCUUGGUCUCAACAAGCAGCUGCCUGGACUUUUUCUCUGGUGUUGAGAUCACUGGCAGGUCUCUACUGCCUUCCGGCUGUGGGGGACUGAACUUUUCCAUUGUCCACCUUAAAAAACUAUUUUGGUUCAUUCUAGGAAAAAAGUUCUAUUUCCCUGUGUUUUUCUGAUUUUAAAAUCUAAAUUAUCUGAGGUAAAAACUGCUGAGUUACUUUGGACUUGCUAACAAGCCAAACAGAAUGGUUACUGGUGAAAUAAAAGCUUUUAAAUUUACUUAUUGGACCUGUAAAAGGUUAAGUUUCUUGUUAAAACUAAUCAACCUGGUAAAAUAUAAAGUGAUAGUACAGACAUUUUUGAGCUAAAUACUAAACCUCAGAUUUUAAUAAAAGCCUAAAAACAGGCAGACUGUAGAAAUUUACCUCUUUUCCUGUUCUCAAGAUAACAGUGUUCUUUUAUGUUUUAAUAUAUGCUCGUUCUCAGUGAGAUAAAGUGUUGAUAACCUAAAGCCAAAAAAUCAUUUCUUAAAAAUAUAAUCUCAAAAAAUAUUUUCUUAUCAAAAAAAAAGUUAGUAAACACUGCCAUGACCGUUGUGAUAUCGAGCCCAAGGUCUCUGGUAAUAAUUAAGAUUAGACACUUAUUCUGUGUACAGAUUAUAGCUGCUAACUCAUUAAAAACCUCAGUCUCUUCACACAUUGGUAAAAUAACUAUCUCUUAAAAUAUAUACAUAUGGCCAAAAUUUUAUAUGCAUGUCAAGAGAUCUCUGUAUCUGUUUUUGUCUUUGUGUUUUUGUUUUGUUUUGUUUUUUACCUUCGGAGGACUAAUUAUAAAUGGCACCUAUAUAAGUUCUCAAAAACAUUUUAAGAUCAUGAUCCAAAAUUUUUAAUAUACAAGAACUAGUUCAAAUUUUAUGAUAUAAUUCCAACCAUAUAUGUCUUAAAGUUAUAAUGGUAAAUAUUAAUAAUCUACUCUGUUUAAAUGUAUCUUGAAAGUAUUUUUCUUUCCUUGACUAAAAACGUAUGUAUAGCCUUUAAAGAUGAGUCUCAACAUUUAAUGUUUUGCUUUGCUUAUGCAGAAAAAGCUAAGGCUAUUAAGACAGAUAAUGCACCUGCUUACACCUUCUCUGCCUUCAAAAAUUUUUUUUAAUUCAUUUAACUUGUGGGAGAGGCUAUGCUUGUAUUUUUCUACAGGAUGCAGAUUCACCCAUCCGGAUCCCUGAUAGACUAAUCCGAUGCGUUGGUUUCUCCUCUUCACCGAUUGCGACUUGAGGAGUCACAGACCAGCCCUACUUCGUCACCAACUUCUGCCACGCUACACAGCAACAUGCCUCCCUCUAUUCCCCUGUGUGAAACCUUGCUUGUUGAUUUAAAUAGUGCUUGGGAUAAUGUAGACAAAUUGUUUUUGUAAUUGUUUAUCAGCCUCCUUAUAUUAUACUGCCUGUAGAUCCAAAGAAAUAUUGGUAUAAUAAUUUUAAUAUUUAUGCUCUUAGAUAAAAAAUUUUGAGACUCGCUUAAAUGUUCUAGAGGAGACACUUUUGUAUAUUGGAAAUCAAAUUCAGCAUAUCAAAACUCACUUGACCACUCCAUGUCGCUCUGAUUACAAAUGGAUUUAUGUCACUCCACAUGUUUAUAAUUCUUCCUCUGUUUCAUGAAAUAAUGUUAAAAAUCAUUUGCUAGGAGUUUGAAAUAAUACAAAUAUUUCCCUAAAUCUUACCAAUCUUCAGAAUAAUAUUAAAGCAAUUAGUUUAGCUUUUGUAUCUUCUUUAACUCCGGCCAAGAUUGCUGAUUCCUUCUUGGCCUCCUUACAGCACUACACCACUAAAGCUGCCUGAUUCCCAUCAUUCAUUGCUAUAGGUAUUGUUUUGCUUGUCACUAUGAUUAUUUUGUUUCACUUCCCAUUGUUCACCAAAUUACUUUUCAGUGCUAUCAAUCAAAUGUGUAGAGUUAAAAAUUUUGCAAAUAAUGGCCAAAAACAAAAAAGGGGGAAAUGCUGCAGGGGGCCUUGCUGCCCUAGCCAGGUAAGACACUGGCAAGCAGCUAAGAAAAAGGGCCUCACACCUUGGGGCCGAAGCUCAAAGAGCCUCACACCUUGGGGCUGAAGAAAAAGGGCCUCACACCGUGGGGCUGAAGAGGGGCUGAAGAUUUAACAUCCCUUUGAUUUUUGUUCUUGGUCAUAAAAAGAGAAAAAAUUCUCAGAAAGUACAUUAGGCAAUGAAUUAUAUGUAUCAGCAUACUAUAAGUAAAUGGCAUGGAAAAUUAUCUGUUUAGAAAUUAGUUAUUAAACAAUUUGGCCCACUUGACAAUGGGAGACAAUUUAUUGUUCAUGCCUGACAAGCAGUCCAGCACAACAAUUAUAGUAGGUCCUUCUUUUGCUUUUUUAAGAAGUUCCCUUUUUUUUAGAAGUUUCUUGGGAAAGUUUUUAAAUGAAGUUAUUUGUGUUAAGGAGUUUCUAGAUAGAAAAAGUUCUGAUAGCUGAGUAGCAACUGGUCUUGGGCUGAAGGCCAUGCGAAUAAGAAAAGUCUUUUGAUUCUUAGGCUUUAGCUGAUAGGGAUGUACUGGCGGCUAUCAACUGUCUUAGGUAAUUGUCUAGCUGAAAUAAUGAGUUGUAGUGUAAGGUUUAGUUUUUUAUCUAUUAACCUUGAAGGGUACCGUCUAGCUGAGACCCGUAGGAGCCAGUAGUCCAUGGGAAUAGAAUACUCUGAUUGUCUCUGUUUUAUACAUGAUGAUGUAAUUUUUCUGCUUGCUAAAAAUGAAUAAAGACUUGCUGAGUCCCUUAGCAGGAGAUACUUGCACCAAACAGAAGUGUGCUUGUCUGCCUCAUUCCCUUCCCUUAGGCCGUCUCAUCCUUUCAGGAACCCCUGACAGGACAUUUUGCCGAGACCAUCAGCAGGGCCCUGAGGCAUCAGGAGAGCGGGGGAGAGACAUCCCAUGCUGGGCGGAUGAGAAGGGGGUGACUCAGCUUCUCUCUGAGAGUAAAGCCAACCUCAGAGAGGAAAUGUUCGGAGGCUUUGCAAGUAGCUGAGUGACUGAAACUUUUCCCAGUUUUGCUGCUGUCACAGCCUGGCAGGGAAGGCGAGACCUGGAGCCCGGCGCCUCUCUAAGCUUUGAGUGUGGUCAUUCAUCAGGUCUUUUGGCAGCUGCGGCAGCUGUUUUCAGUGUCACUUGUCUUGUGCUGUGCUGGGGCAUCUCGGCAGCUCCGUUGAGCAUCUCCUGUUGUGUCUUCUGCUGUCUUCGUGAACUGGAUCCCGGCCUAUAGUCUGGCAGCCACGUGCUCCAGGCCCUCAGUGGCAGGAAGACGCUACUUGGGAACAUUUGUGUUUAGGACUUUACAACACUGGACACUGCUUCAGGCUCUAACAGCAGCAAAGAUGGGAACAGGUGAAGAAGCUGUGAUUGCUUCUCAACCUUGGACAUGUGCCAGAGACUUGGGGGGACAUGGAAGGAGACACUGGAAACAGACAUGGGUGUAGUCCCCAUAGAAGUUCCUCCACCAGUGCAACCGUGCACCAUCCCCACAGCCCCCUGUGUGCCUCUCUCCCUUAGGCUCCCCUGAAGGAUGUCUCUGGUUUAUAAUUGUCUGUUUUGUUUUGUUUUUUGUUUUGCUUUGUUAUGUUUUGUACUGUUAUUAUUUUUCCCCUAUGUCUUAUUUGUUUCCCCUAUAUUCCUCCUAUAUGUGAAGCCACCUGUUGUUUUUCUUUUUCCUUCUGACUUAUUUCACUGAGCAUAAUUCCUUCUAGCUCCUUCCACGUUGCUGCAAAUCGGAUGAGUUUGUCUUUUUUCUUCACUUAGUAAUAUUCUAUUGUCUAAAUAUACCAAAACCUUUUGACUCAUUUGUUGAUUUGGGGGUAUUGGGUUUGUUUCCAUAUCUUGGCUACUGUAAAUAUUGCUGAAAUAAACAUAGCGGUACAGUUUUCCUUUUGAAUUAGUGUUUUUAUGUCCUUUGGGUAGAUUCGUAGGAAUGGAAUUGCUGGAUCAUUAGGUAGAUCCAAUUGUAGUAAUUUGAGGGUCCUCCACACAGCUCUGAAUAUUGGUUGGGCCAGUUUGCAUUCCCACCAGCCAUGCAGGAGAGUUCCUUUUUCUCCACAUCCUCUCUAGCAUUUGUUGCUUCUGGUUUUUCCAUUUUUAAUAUGGGUAUUCUCAUGGGACUGAAGUAUACCCCAUCUUCUUGAUCCAUUCAAGAUCCCCUGAUUUAAAAUACGAUGAGAAACUACUUCACACCUGUGAGAAUGGCCCAUAUCAAAAAGACCAGACCUAACAAGAUCUGGUAGGACAUGGAGACAAGGCACGGUCCUGCACUGAUUUGGGGAAUAUAGACUGGUUCAUCCCUGAUGGAAAACAACGUCCAGGUUUCUUAGAAAAUUAACUGAGCAUCUGCCAUAGGACUCAGCAGUCCCAUCCCAAGGUAUCUACCCUGCCUCAGAUGGCCCAUGAGAAGUUCUCAGCUAUGAACUGGAUUCGAAGUCUAAAUGAAUUAGCAGCAGGAGGAGGCUGGAGAGAACCCUCUAGAGCAGCUCUGCCUCUCACUCUCCCAGCCCAAGCUCUUAUUAAAGAUAUGAACAAAGGGAUAAGGAAACAGCGUGCAAUUGUGUUUAUACUUAUACACUGAAUAAGUUACUGCUGGAACAAGUUUUUCUAGUUAGUAGGGAUCAUGCACACAAGUCAGCAUGUCCUCAGGGAACAGGAGUUCAUUUGGGGAAGAAGUUCUGUUUGCAGAACUUCUAACCUCCUGGAACCUCCUGUGCAGAGUAAGCAGGUGCUCUCAGAGACUCUGGCUCCCCUUAGGGUGGCAGGUGCCAGCACACCCGCAGAGGAUGUUACACUACUUCAAAGGAAACCUGCACCCCCUGAUCACUGCAGCACUAUUUACAGUAGCCGAGCUGUGGAAGGGGUUGUACAUAGAUAAUAGAAUAUUACUCAUCAAGAAACAUAAACUCAUGCCAUCUAGGGCAACACGGAUGGAGCUAAUUGAAAUAAGCCUAAUGGAGAAAGACAAAUGUAUCACUUAGAUGUGGAUAUACAGAAAUUAAACAAAGGGCUAGAUUAAGCCAAACUUAAAAGCUAUCCCUUGAGUCUCCCAGGCGGUGCCUGACUGCUGACUGGGCCUGCAGAGCAGCCAGGCUUCUUGGCCCACCAGUGCUGGGUGGACUGACCCUCUGUAGUUUGGCAUCAAACUCAUUUGACGACAAAGCCUGACUCCCGCUGACUAAGUCCCUGAUAGUGUUUUGUUGCAGCUGCACCACCACUGGGUCCCCAGCCUCUGCUGUUUGCUGGGUCUGAGACGGAUCUUGUACCUGAUGCUGCAGG